UAGUCCACGCCGUAAACGAUGGUUACUAGCUGUUCGACUUCGGUUGAGUGGCUAAGCGAAAGUGAUAAGUAACCCACCUGGGGAGUACGUUCGCAAGAAUGAAACUCAAAGGAAUUGACGGGGGCCCGCACAAGCGGUGGAGCAUGUGGUUUAAUUCGAUGAUACGCGAGGAACCUUACCAGGGCUUAAAUGUAGAUUGACAGGUUUAGAGAUAGACUUUUCUUCGGACAAUUUACAAGGUGCUGCAUGGUUGUCGUCAGCUCGUGCCGUGAGGUGUCAGGUUAAGUCCUAUAACGAGCGCAACCCCUGUGGUUAGUUGCCAGCGAGUAAUGUCGGGAACUCUAGCCAGACUGCCAGUGCAAACUGUGAGGAAGGUGGGGAUGACGUCAAAUCAUCACGGCCCUUACGUCCUGGGCCACACACGUGCUACAAUGGUAGGUACAGAGAGCAGCCACACCGCGAGGUGGAGCGAAUCUAUAAAGCCUAUCUCAGUUCGGAUCGGAGUCUGCAA
rnacentral:rRNA from 1 species